GACGAACGCUGGCGGCGUGCCUAAUACAUGCAAGUAGGACGCAGUUGCGAACGGGUGAGUAACGCGUAGGUAACUACCUAUUAGAGGGGGAUAACUAUUGGAAACGAUAGCUAAUACCGCAUACUAGUAGAUGGACCUGCGUUGUAUUAGCUAGUAGGUAGGGUACUGGCCUACCUAGGCAACGAUACAUAGCCGACCUGAGAGGGUGAUCGACCCCACUGGGACUGAGACACGGCCCAGACUCCUACAUCAGUCAUCAAUAUUAAAUCUUCGGCAAUGGGGGGAACCCUGACCCAGCAACGCCGCGUGAGUGAAGAAGGUUUUCGGAUCAUAAAUCUCUGUUGUUAAGGAAGCGGUACUUAACCAGAAAGGGACGGCUAACUACGUGCCAGCAGCCGCGGUAAUAC
rnacentral:rRNA from 1 species